CGUCUCAAAAUUCUCCAUGGCCAACGCCCAACGGAAACAAAUCCCCCAAAUUUGAUACGCGCCGGCGGCGGCGACGACGGGGGCUGCGGCGGCGGCGGCGGCUCUUCUUCUCCGCCCUAUCCCGUUCUCGGAGAUGGGCUAGGGACGGGAUGGGAUGGGAUGGCGUCUCCUGCUGCGCUCGCCGGAGAUGGCUCCGCCUCGCCGAGCAGCAAACAGUUAUCCAAGGUUGUUUUGGAGUGAAGGCAGAUAACCACCUAGGUCACAAAAACAGAUGGUAUGGAGAGAGUUCUACAAAGUGACAUACAUCGUAACAAUUUCUACCAAUAUGGCACAGGUAUUUUUUUCCCAAGUCCACUUUAACAUGCUUUUUGUGGUUUUUCAUUUUUCAUGCUUUGUAUUUUAGUGCCUAUAUAGUAACAUUUGAGGAGGCCUUAAAGGGCAGUAUUGCCUCGAUUAUUGGGCCAAAAUCGCUUCACGUAUUGGCCCAACUGCUUCAGUUGUUCAGAUGGGAUCUGAUUCACAUUUUAGGCUGUAAUGGGUCUAUUGCUUCCAUUAUGGCUCGUAAUGGUCAAAGUGCUUAUUUUGUUGAGUUAUAAUGUAAUAAGUCUAUUUUUCAUCCCUCAA